UCUACUCUGCACGUUCAUGUUGGCUUUUGCUCCUUUCUUGUUUCAAUGAUUGGAGAUGAAGCCAUUCUGAGUUUCUACAUCAUGUCAAAUUCUAGCCCAGCCACAAUGUUUACCUGGUAAUAUUUCUACGGGCUUUGAUCUCAGAUUUUCCCAGGAGCAUGGACUGCUGUCUUGGUGUCACUAGACAAUGAGGGCUUUUGGAAUGUGCGUGCGGAAAAUCUUGAUACAUGGUACCUUGGACAGGAGGUGUAUAUAAAGCUUGUCAACCCUGAAACAAGUUUCAAGACCGAGUCGCCUAAACCUGAUAAUGCCCUUUAUUGUGGUGCCCUCAAGAACCUGCAGAAGGAUCAGACACCUCAUGGCUCAAAUGCAUCAAAUUCAUCUCCUUCAAUUCUAAAUGUUGGAAGCAAGCUGCUCACCUUGAUGCUACUCUUAGCUUUGACUGCCAUAUUUGUGUAGUUGUUUGAGUAGAAAACAUCACAAUUUUCGCCCCCUUGAGGAAAAAACUUUGACCAUAAGAUUUCAAAUGUGAAAAUCUCUUCUUGUCAAUAAUGGAUUUUCUGUGCUCUUGACAUGCUUUUAGGUUGCAUAUCAUUUUGUCAUCUUCACACUCUUCAGCUUUGACCAUUCAGGAAAUCAAAAUUGUAUAACAUUUAUGAAAUGCAACUUAAUGAAAGCAUUUAAAGGUUCUUUUUGUUUGAGAGAUGAGGCUCCAGUAUUUCCAGUCCUUACAGGACCACAUAGGGAUUAUUUUCUCAAUUAUAUUUACUCUGCAUCUGCUCGAUUUUUCAUCUCCGUUUUUCAUCUCCGCCACCUUUUAUAUCUUGUUUCGGUACAUGAACCCUUCCCAUUGAGAUGAGUUAGCUAUCAACUUCGUUGCUUUAUUGUUUUCGCUUUCUGAAACCUGGUAAAAGAUUACUGAAAGGUAACAGCAACGUGGGGUUGAUAUUUCGGAGAACUUAUGACAGGAACUAUAUGCUGUAGUGGUUGUGUGCACCUUAAAGACUACAAUCUAUGUCAUCAGAAUUACUCUUUGCUGCAAUUUGAAAUCUGGAGAACUUGUUUGAGUUGUGGCCAUUAAGCUAAUCAGAUACCUAACGACCAAGUUCCAGGUUGUGGGGAUUAUGUGGACCUGGCGUCAAACACAGAUCAACUAAACAAGAAAGCUAGCCUCGUGCUCAGGUUGGGUCAGGCUAAGAACAUACUCGAGCCUAACCGGAUCAAAAAGAUAUUCAGGCAGAACCAGAUGCAACCUUAGAUUGGAUCGGAUGGAUCGAGAUGUUUUAUUGUAGACAAAACAUGCUCAGCUUGGGCUGGGAGGACUAUAAUUGUGAAAACAUAAGGGUAGAUAUAGGUUAAAGGAAAUGAUUCUUCUAAUAAAGAAAGUCAUAUGCCUCUAAUAAUUUUUUUCUAAUAUGGAAAUGAUUCUUCUAACAAUUUUGAUGAUUUUCGGAUACCAAAGUAUGCUUGGUUGAUCAUCAUAUUGCAUCCUUUUUUUUCCGAAUGCGGUCAUCAUAGUGCAUCUUGCAUACACAAUUGAAAAAUGAUCGAAUAUGCAUCGGAUAUUAGUGUUUCUAUGAUAUGAUCCAUAUAUUGUCUUCGUUUCAACAAAGAUGAUUACAGAUUUUGACAUCAAUCAUAUGCUAAAUUUGGUAUCAAUGUUUGUUUUAAACUUAUAUGAACACAAAUAGGAUAUUAGUAAUAUGGAUAUAAGUAGAGAUACAGACCUGAUAUAAUAAACUCUGUUGUUAGGAUCCUUUUCCGGUUUUUUCAUCAAAUAAAGAAAAAGUUUAUGCUUUAUGUUUAUUAAUUUGAAUUUAGUAUACAAAGAUCCCAACUUUCUUUUAUUAUUUUUAAUACAAAUAAGCAAUCAUACAAAGAAAACAAAAAAAUUACCAUAUUCAUCUGAUCAAAUGAAUCCUUUGAUCCUAAUGACUCAGCUAAGUUACCCAUUUCAGUCAAAAGGUUGACUUUUAGGGAUGCAAUCCAAAAAUUUAAGGAUAUCACCAUAUGAUAAAGAUAUUAUAUCAAAAAUAUAUUGACGCUGUCACUUACCUUCAGAUUUUAUGAAAGCUAUAUGAAACUCAUUAGGACUGGAAACACCAUAACUAUCUUAAAAGAAAAAAUAGACCGGAAACAAAUUCAGAUAGUAAUCAAAUAUUUAUGUACCUAUAGCCAUAUAUGCUUUACCUUGAAAGGACAAGUAUUAAUUGGAUGGUAAAACUUGUAUCCACAUCCAAAUGUAUUAGAAAUUGGAAAUAAAUCCAUAAGGAUAUUAACCAAACCAUUUUCACCGUGUUGUGAUCCUUAGAAACAUUACUAAAUCAAGUCUGUUUGCAGCUCAUGUAAAGGACAUGAGCAUUGCACUCUAUCGAAUCUUUAAGCAGCACAAGAAUAAAAGAAUUAAACAUAAUUUAUAACUCCUUUGGUCUGCAUGCUAUCUCUAUUUUUCAUUUAAUACCAAUGACACUACAGAUGCGAGUUCUAUUCCACAUCGUGAAAGUCCUACAGUCUUCCCAAGUUAUUCCACCUCCUAUUCCAUAGAAUAUGGUGAUUUCAUGAUCAAAACACGAAAUUUUGUAAUGCAAGCUCAAU